AUUGAACGCUGGCGGCGGGCCUAACACAUGCAAGUCGAACGAGUGGCGGCCGUGUGAGUAAUGUCUGGGAAUCUGCCUGAUGGAACGGGAUAUCUACUGGAAACUGUAGCUAAUACCGCAUACACUCAGAUGUUCCCAGAUGGGAUUAGCUUGUUGGUGGGGUAACGGCUCACAUAGGCUAAGAUCCCUAGCUGGUCUGAGAGGAUGACCAGCCACAAUGGAACUGAGAAACGGUCGAGACGCCUACGGGAGGCAGCAGUGGGGAAUAUUGCACGAUGGGGGGAAGCCUAAUGCAGCCAUGCCGCGUGUAUGAAGAAGGCAUGCGGGGUGUAAAAUGCUGUCAGCGGGGAGGCGUUACCCGCAGAAGAAGCAACGGCUAACUCCGUGCCAGCAGCCGCGGUAAUAC
rnacentral:rRNA from 1 species